rnacentral:rRNA from 1 species
CAGCAGCCGCGGGAAUACGAAGGGGGCUAGCGUUGCUCGGAAUUACUGGGCGUAAAGGGUGCGUAGGCGGUUUGGCAAGUCUUGUGUGAAAUCUUCGGGCUCAACCCGAAGCCUGCACGAGAAACUACCGGGCUUGAGUAUUGGAGAGGUGAGUGGAAUUUCCGGUGUAGCGGUGAAAUGCGUAGAUAUCGGAAGGAACACCUGUGGCGAAAGCGGCUCACUGGACAAUAACUGACGCUGAUGCACGAAAGCUAGGGGAGCAAACAGGAUUAGAUACCCCAGUAGUCCCUGUCUCUUAUAU